AGUAAAUAGAUACCCGGGUAGUCCACGCCGUAAACGAUGAGUACUAGGUGUAGGAGGUAUCGACUCCUUCUGUGCCGCAGUUAAACACAAUAAGUACUCCGCCUGGGAAGUACGGUCGCAAGAUUAAAACUCAAAGGAAUUGACGGGGGCCCGCACAAGCAGCGGAGCAUGUGGUUUAAAUUCGAAGCAACGCGAAGAACCUUACCUAGACUUGACAUCCCCUGAAUAACGUAGAGAUACGCGAAGCCCUUCGGGGCAGGGAGACAGGUGGUGCAUGGUUGUCGUCAGCUCGUGUCGUGAGAUGUUGGGUUAAGUCCCGCAACGAGCGCAACCCUUAUCAUUAGUUGCUACCAUUUAGUUGAGCACUCUAGUGAGACUGCCCGGGUUAACCGGGAGGAAGGCGGGGAUGACGUCAAGUCAUCAUGCCCCUUAUGUCUAGGGCUACACACGUGCUACAAUGGUGAGAACAACGAGAUGCAAUACCGCGAGGUGGAGCAAAACUUCAAAACUCAUCUCAGUUCGGAUUGUAGGCUGAAACUCGCC
rnacentral:rRNA from 1 species